rnacentral:rRNA from 1 species
GUAGGUGGCAAGCGUUGUCCGGAAUUAUUGGGCGUAAAGCGCGCGCAGGCGGUUCUUUAAGUCUGAUGUGAAAGCCCACGGCUCAACCGUGGAGGGUCAUUGGAAACUGGAGAACUUGAGUACAGAAGAGGAAAGCGGAAUUCCACGUGUAGCGGUGAAAUGCGUAGAGAUGAGGAGGAACACCAGUGGCGAAGGCGGCUUUCUGGUCUGUAACUGACGCUGAGGCGCGAAAGCGUGGGGAGCAAACAGGAUUAGAUACCCUGGUAGUCCACGCCGUAAACGAUGAGUGCUAAGUGUUAGGGGGUUUCCGCCCCCCUUAGUGCUGCAGCUAACGCAUUAAGCACUCCGCCUGGGAGUACGGCCGCAAGGCUG